rnacentral:rRNA from 1 species
AACGAACGCUGGCGGCAGGCUUAACACAUGCAAGUCGAACGUGAAGCCACCUUCGGGUGGUGGAAAGUGGCAGACGGGUGAGUAACGCGUGGGAAUCUACCUAAUGGUACGGAAUAACUCAGGGAAACUUGAGCUAAUACCGUAUGUGCCCGCAAGGGGAAAGAUUUAUCGCCAUUAGAUGAGCCCGCGUCGGAUUAGCUAGUUGGUGGGGUAAUGGCCCACCAAGGCGACGAUCCGUAGCUGGUCUGAGGGGAUGAUCAGCCACACUGGGACUGAGACACGGCCCAGACUCCUACGGGAGGCAGCAGUGGGGAAUAUUGGACAAUGGGCGAAAGCCUGAUCCAGCCAUGCCGCGUGAGUGAUGAAGGCCCUAGGGUUGUAAAGCUCUUUCGACGGGGACGAUAAUGACGGUACCCGUAGAAGAAGCCCCGGCUAACUUCGUGCCAGCCGCCGCCGUAA